rnacentral:rRNA from 1 species
ACCCUGGUAGUCCGCACGGUAAACGAUGGAUGCCCGCUGUUGGUCUGAAUAGGUCAGCGGCCAAGCGAAAGCAUUAAGCAUCCCACCUGGGGAGUACGCCGGCAACGGUGAAACUCAAAGGAAUUGACGGGGGCCCGCACAAGCGGAGGAACAUGUGGUUUAAUUCGAUGAUACGCGAGGAACCUUACCCGGGCUUGAAUUGCAGAGGAAGGAUUUGGAGACAAUGACGCCCUUCGGGGCCUCUGUGAAGGUGCUGCAUGGUUGUCGUCAGCUCGUGCCGUGAGGUGUCGGCUUAAGUGCCAUAACGAGCGCAACCCCUCUCCUUAGUUGCCAUCAGGUCAAGCUGGGCACUCUGGGGACACUGCCACCGUAAGGUGUGAGGAAGGUGGGGAUGACGUCAAAUCAGCACGGCCCUUACGUCCGGGGCUACACACGUGUUACAAUGGCAGGUACAGAGAGACGGUCCCUUGCAAAAUGGAUCAAAUCCUUAAAGCCUGUCUCAGUUCGGACUGGGGUCUGCCAACCGACCCCACGAAGCUGGUAC